AUUCUUAUUCGAAUAGAUACAUUGUAGGGAAGUUACGACGGUGGUUCUGAUUUUCUGGAAGGGGUGAUGCCUAUGCAAAUAGAGCACAAAUCUAACAGAAAGGAGGAACGAUUUUGUCUGUUACUGAUAUAUUGCUAGUCAUGAUUGCAUUCGCAAGUUUACUUGUGGACUUAAUUGGUCUAG
rnacentral:sRNA from 1 species